rnacentral:lncRNA from 1 species
AUGUUAGAACCAACCUUGAGAAUAGGAAACCCAGAACACAGAAGAGAGACCACUGAAAAUUUCAUGCUGUUUCACCUUUUCACUGUCUUUACUGUAAGCAUGCGUCAUAGUAGGAAUAUUGAUCGUUCACGACACAGUAAACACAGGGAAACCACCCACAGACAGUCUCAACAGGCUGGAGACAGGGCAGUCAAACAAGGCAUACAAAAAAUGAUGCAAAUCCAUUGGCAGAAGAAAGCAAGAUAAUCAGCUCCAGUAUAAAUGCUUCAAAGCACGUUCUGGAUCUUGUUUCUUUUUAUGCCCGGUCUAUACCAUAACACAGCACCCGUUUGUUGGUCCAAAGAAAAUACCAUCUGACUCCUUAAUUGCCUGAGGUUCACGGCGGCUCACAUUGUGGGUUCUCAAUAAAACAUUAAGCAAGAAUCUCUUUCUCCGUGGGCUCAAAUGAAUCAUACUUGAAUUUUACACUUUCUUCAGAUAUCCUGACUCACUAA